rnacentral:lncRNA from 1 species
GGAAGGCAACCUCAUUUAACCAAAACUCACACAUCUUAAACUUGACAUACAACUUCUUUUUCUUAAGUAUUCCAAGCACUAUUGUCAAAUGCUUUGCAUGUUCAACCUCUCUCCGUGAAUAAAUCAGUAUAUCAUCAAUGAAAACAAUGACAACCUUAUCUAAGAAUGGCUAGAAGACUCUGUUCAUCAAAUCCAUAAAUGCU